GCUUAAUGUACCCGUUACUUGUCAAAGAACACAAGUAUAGUUGAUAUAUGGAUAGUUUGAAAGAGAAAUAGUUCUUGUUUGGUUGUUUUUCAAGCACCUUUUCUUUAUGCUGUACCCACUCCUACACCCCCUGGGGGUUGCAUAAUAAUAACCAAACAGGGGUUAUUUGGGUUCGAUAAAAGUUAUUGGGUUCAUCCGAAUUUUCAUUGGUACUAUAGCUUCCUACCCCUUGCACAUGUGAAUGUAGCCUGUUGAGUUUCUCAAUUCAACUAAGUUUUGUAUGGAGUCUCGAGGCUAAUUUAGUU
rnacentral:misc_RNA from 1 species